rnacentral:rRNA from 1 species
CCUACGGGUGGCUGCAGUGGGGAAUAUUGGGCAAUGGGCGCAAGCCUGACCCAGCAACGCCGCGUGGAGGAAGAAGUCUUUCGGGUUGUAAACUUCUUUUCUCAGGGACGAAGAAAGUGACGGUACCUGAGGAAUAAGCCACCGCUAACUACGUGCCAGCAGCCGCGGUAAUACGUAGGGGGCAAGCGGUAUCCGGAUUUACUGGGUGUAAAGGGCGUGUAGGCGGGUGCGCAAGUCAGAUGUGAAAACUCAGGGCUCAACCCUGAGCCUGCAUUUGAAACUGUGUUUCUUGAGUGCUGGAGAGGCAGGCGGAAUUCCGUGUGUAGCGGUGAAAUGCGUAGAUAUCCGGAGGAACACCAGUGGCGAAGGCGGAUUGCUGGACAGCAACUGACGCUGAGGCGCGAAAGCGUGGGGAGCAAACAGGAUUAGAUACCCGAGUAGUC